GGAAGCACCGGCUAACUCCGUGCCAGCAGCCGCGGUAAUACGGAGGGUGCAAGCGUUGUUCGGAUUUAUUGGGCGUAAAGCGCGUGUAGGCGGUUUUCUAAGUCUGAUGUGAAAGCCCUGGGCUCAACCCAGGAAGUGCAUUGGAUACUGGGAGACUUGAAUACGGGAGAGGGUAGUGGAAUUCCUAGUGUAGGAGUGAAAUCCGUAGAUAUUAGGAGGAACACCGGUGGCGAAGGCGGCUACCUGGACCGAUAUUGACGCUGAGACGCGAAAGCGUGGGGAGCAAACAGGAUUAGAUACCCUGGUAGUCCACGCCGUAAA
rnacentral:rRNA from 1 species